rnacentral:misc_RNA from 1 species
UUCAUAGUCUUAGCAGAAGGAAUCCACCCAAUUGCGCUAAAGAUAUCCUUCUGGAACAGAUUUUGGCUGUAGAAUGCAAUGUCAAGCAAGAACCAAGUAGUGGUUGUCCCAAGCAAGUGAAUUCCAUGGCGACGAAGAAAUUCUUUAGAGAACAAACCAAAUGAAUUGGAUUGAUCCUGAGCUAGCUGCUGACCCUUUUGCUCCUCUGCCUCAAGAUCAACCUGCAGAACUUUGGACAUAUCAGAAGCAGCCUGUUUUGCAUUCUUAGCAACAAGGGCAGUGUAACGAGCGGUUUCAGGCAUCUUCAUUCUCCAAUAGUAGGUAAGUGCAGCGGGAAGUGCUCCAACCAUUAGAAUUAUGCUCCAAACAUAGUCUGCCUGUGGGACAGUUG